ACAUAAGAGUCACUUUUUUCACUAGACUAUUGUACUCAUCAGAGUGCGGGAACACAAGUCUGAGUGCAUGACUGUUGUAUAUAUACGUAUUGGAACUCAUAUGUAUUUGUAAGGGAUUUGUAAUAAUUUUGUUCUGGUGCAUAAAUUUUAUCGUGCAUUUGUCAUUUUUAAUCUGUAUCUGAACCCAUUUGCCUUAAUUAACACUUGGAAUGUCAUAAACAUAUUCAAAAAGAACAUUUUAGUGUCACAAAAUCCCCUAAAUUUACAAGGUAAUGGUAUAUUAAUCUGUUGUAUUUUUUUGAGUUCAACUAU
rnacentral:lncRNA from 1 species